rnacentral:rRNA from 1 species
AGAACGAACGCUGGCGGCGUGUUUAAGACAUGCAAGUCGCACGGGAUUAGUCUUGUAGUAAUACACGGCUGGUUCAGUGGCGCACGGGUGAGUAACACGCGAAUUACAUGCCCUUCAGUGGGGAAUAGCCCAGGGAAACUUGGAUUAAUACCCCAUGGUAUCGCAAGAUUAAAGGUGGCCGCAAGGCUGUCGCUGAAGGAUUGGUUCGCGCCCUAUCAGCUUGUUGGUGAGGUAACGGCUCACCAAGGCUACGACGGGUACCUGGUCUGAGAGGACGAUCAGGCACACUGGAACUGAGACACGGUCCAGACACCGUACGGGUGCAGCAGUCGAGAAUAA